AACUGAUGAUUAUAAAGAAAUUUACAGUCCAAGUGCACCAAGUGGGGUUUUACCUUGACCAGCUUCCAAGUAAAAAAUGAGCAUUGCAACCAUUGCGAGUCUGGAAUGUUUAAUCUCUGCAAGCUUCAACCUCUCCAACUUCUCCGCGUCCGGAAUAUAUUCUCCAUUCUGUAUUGUUCCGGCAAAGCUGAGAGGAUCAAAGAAUUUCCCUCCAGGGUAACCUUGUUCUCCGGUGAAGUUGGAGAAGUUCUCCGCUGUCCUCGACCAUGGAGUUGCCCAUUCGACUGACUGUGAUUCUGGGUUUAAGAAGUCAGCCCAUCUUUUGCUCUCCACCCAUCCCAUAAGUAGCAACUGGGUGCCGAGCAGUGUUCCGAAAGAGAAAGGAGCGAUCGCACCUGAAUCGGCUCCAGCCGUGAACCAUGAGAUACCACUCCAUGCUUGGCCGACAAAUAUUCCCAAUACAGCAGCCAUAGCCCAUCGUCCGUGGAUAAGCUCUGCUUCUCGGUACCAUUUGAGGAAGGAUGGAUCCUUGCCUAAUCCCAAUGGGUCAAACCCGAAAUCUCCGGGGAGUCUUAGAUUUAAACACACAAAAUAAUUAACUAGUAAUUAAAAUACACUGCAUGUGCUAAUUAAUUAAUUAAUUUUCACAUCCAUGCACUUACGAUC
rnacentral:lncRNA from 1 species